rnacentral:rRNA from 1 species
UACGGAGGGUGCAAGCAUUAAUCGGAAUUAUUGGGCGUAAAGGGCGCGUAGGCGGAUUUGUAAGUCAGAUGUGAAAUUCCGAAGCUCAACUUCGGAGCUGCAUUUGAAACUGUAAGUCUAGAGGGAUGGCGGAGAAAACGGAAUUCCACGUGUAGCGGUGAAAUGCGUAGAUAUGUGGAAGAACACCGGUGGCGAAGGCGGUUUUCUAGCUAUUUCCUGACGCUGAGGCGCGAGAGCAAGGGGAGCAAACAGG